rnacentral:rRNA from 1 species
UACAGAAUCCCCGAGCGUUACCCGGAUUUAUUGGGCGUAAAGAGUUCGUAGGUGGCGUAGUAAGUUGAAAGUUAAAACUCAUCGGCUUAACCUUUGAGGUGCUUUUAAUACUGCUACACUAGAGGGCGUUAGGGGUGAACGGAACCGAUGGAGUAGGGGUGAAAUCCGUUGAUAUCAUCGGGAACACCAAAAGCGAAGGCAGUUCACUAAGACGACCCUGACACUGAGGAACGAAAGCGUGGGGAGCAAAAAGG